GAUGAACGCUGGCGGCGUGCUUAAGACAUGCAAGUCGAACGAAGAGCUUGUAGCAAUACGGGCUCUGAGUGGCGAAUGGGUGCGUAACACGUAGGUGACCUGCCCUGAAGUGGGGAAUAACAGUCCGAAAGGACUGCUAAUACCCCAUGUGGUCCUGGAGGUUAGAGGCUCCAGGUCUAAAGCAGCAAUGCGCUUCAGGAGGGGCCUGCGGCCCAUCAGCUAGUUGGCAGGGUAACGGCCUACCAAGGCAACGACGGUA
rnacentral:rRNA from 1 species